UACGUAGGGGGCAAGCGUUGUCCGGAAUCAUUGGGCGUAAAGAGCGUGUAGGCGGCCCGAUAAGUCCGCUGUGAAAGUCCAGGGCUCAACCCUGGAAUGCCGGUGGAUACUGUCGGGCUAGAGUGCGGAAGAGGCGAGUGGAAUUCCUGGUGUAGCGGUGAAAUGCGCAGAUAUCAGGAGGAACACCGAUUGCGAAGGCAGCUCGCUGGGACGUAACUGACGCUGAGACGCGAAAGCGUGGGGAGCGAACAGG
rnacentral:rRNA from 1 species